CUGAGAUCCAUAAUCGAACAGAAGUAACCAAUAACCAUCCCCCCUCUGCUCUCCCUCGCCCCUCCCUUCUUUUCUUUCCCCAUACUUCAGUCUCUGCUUUCGUCUUAUCUUCAAAAGGCUAGUAUUGAAAAUGCUGCCAAGAGCAUUGACGAUUGUGAACAGUGGGGCUAAUAUUGGCUUCUUGAGGCUAUUUACAAGAUAUGUAUCCAUUUCAAGCAGAGCUGUAAUGGACAUUGCUGGUAAAGAUGGGGAACUAAGAGUGUUCAUUGUUGCUGGGGAGGUUUCAGGGGAUACUAUUGGUUCUCGUCUUAUGGCGUCCUUGAAGAAGCUCUCUCCUACUCCCGUUCGUUUUUCUGGGGUUGGAGGGUAAGUAAGUUAUUAGUUUAGCUGCUAUUUUUCAGUAAUUAUCUGUUCUUUGAAAGUAUUUGCUUAAUUUAGUGGAUGUAAAAAUUUGGUUUUGUUUUAAAUUAUAGAUGCACCAUGUCAUUGGCAUAUAUGAACUAUGUAAAAGUUCGUGUUGUCAUAGUUUCUUUUUGAAUUUAUGUUGGUAAAGCACAUUCCUUUUGAAGAAAAUAUUAAAACAUGGAUUCUAAUCCACGAUCAUGCCAAAAACCUAGGAUCCAAAACUUAUAUCACUUAUUCACAAUAUAAUCCCAUGUUAAGCAAGACGAAUUAUAUUAUAUUUUAUAGCCAGUUUAGAUGUACCUUAGAUGCAGAAACAAAUUGCUUCAAUAAAAUGUUGAGAGUUGUCAACCAAGAACCAAGUCUAUAUGCACACACAAAAAACUUCAUGAAUGCUCCUUCUUCACUGUUUAUUUGCAAUAUGUUUUGGUCCCUUUUAUCACUGUUUAUUAUUGUAUAUUGAAGGAAAUGGCCAUUUGGCCUUUCAUACAUUUACAUGUUUGUGACUGACUGAGUGACUGCCAUAGCAGUUACAUGUUACAGUUUUGACCUUCUUUUUGAAAAAUAUUAGUAACCAAAAUCAAUGGAUCCUGGUUUGACCUACAUGGGUGACCCAGACCCAAAUUCCUUCACCUUUCUUCGUUGCAGGAAUAAAUUUCUGUAAAACCUGAAUACCAAUAUGAGUGAGGAUUUUUUUUUUUCCUUUAAUUGUCACUUUUUUUUUUAAAUGUCUAGGUCUGGGACCUAUUAAUUCUUAUCUACUGUGUUCUUUGAAAAUGUUCUUUCCGUUUGUGUAAGGUCAAUGAUGUCCAAGGAAGGAAUGGAAUCUCUGUUCCCAAUGGAGGACAUUGCAGUAAUGGGCAUAUGGGAGUUGUUACCACAUCUGAAUAAGAUCAGAGCAAAGUUGAAGGAAACAAUUGAGGCUGCUCUUCUAUUUCAGCCUCAUGUUGUUGUGACAGUGGACUCCAAAGGAUUCUCAUUUCGUCUCCUAAAGCAGUUGAGAGGUAACAUGAACCACUCUCUUGCUAUUAGCAUCAAUCCUUGCGCACUGCUUAUGCAAUAAGUCUGUUGUAGGAAAAUAGGAAAAUGAUUUUUGCAGCUAGAUACAGUUGGCAAAGAUUGGAUAGUCCUGUACACUUCCAUUAUGUGGCACCAUCAUUUUGGGCGUGGAAAGGGGGAGAAGCAAGACUCCAAGGUCUAGCCAAUUUUGUGGAUCAUGUUUUUUGUAUACUUCCAAACGAGGAAACAGUUUGUAAGUCUAAUGGAUUGGCUGCAACCUUUGUGGGCCAUCCCAUUCUGGAAGAUGUUUUGGCAUUGAAUUUGGUAUGGAUUAAUCUGCUAAUGUUGGAAUAUAUUCAGGAUCAAUAAAUUCCUAUAUAUAAAUUGUCAUUCUUUAAGGUUCCUAUGAAAAUUUUAAUCUUAAAACGUGUUAAAAAAGGCUGAUAUGUUAGGCAGAACAUGUUUUGUACAUGUGUAUUCACCCUAUGUGAUGCUUGAAAUGAUUACUUACACGGUGAAAAUUUAUUCUUAAUGCUGAUUAAUUUCUAACACAUUAAAGGCUUAUGAUGUGUAGGGAAAGCAAAUCUCACCAUUUGAAUGCAAAAUAGAGGGAAAAAAUGAAGAUUUCCGAAGUAAAUUUGCAAUACCUCCUGGUAAUGUAAAAGUCAUGAAUGAUUUGGUUUCUUAUAUUCAUCUCAAAAUUUUGGUGUUAUUGAAAACCUUAUGGCCUGCAUCAAGUUGCAAAGUAUAUUAUGUUCUUGAAUUAUUAGUGACUGGCAGGGAGGGGCUUAUCUAUAUUAAAUAUCUGAAUACUGCCUUGUCUUAAUGGUUAGUGAAUUUUGUCUUUAAAAGGUGCCACAGUCAUUUCCUUGCUUCCGGGAAGCAGAUUACAAGAGGUCUCUAGGAUGCUUUCAAUCUUUGCAAAUACCAUGGAACAGUUAAAAGACUCUUUUCUUGAGUUAAUUAAUGUCAUUCACAUAGCACCGAAUCAGGAUGUGGAGAAUUACAUAAGGAGUUUUGUUAAUAAGUGGCCUGUGCCUGUUAUAUUGAUUCCCGGAGGUCAACCACACACAAAAUACGAUGCCUUUAGUGUAAGUCAUUUUGCUCUUCUUUGUUAUUACCAAUAGAAUUGUAUGAGAAAUAUCUGAGAUGGAACAAAUGAGAGUUGCAACCACUGAGUUCAGGGGUUGUAUGAGAGUGUACCUGUCUUCCAAUUAAGGAUUUGCCAGCUCCUGGUAAUUCUUAUGGAUGCAAAGUGGAGACGAAAAGUCGAUCUGGUAGGAGCAGCCAAGUCUUUAGUCAGAACCUGUUGGAGUUGGGUAUAAUUCUCUGUGCUUUUCUGUCGAGGGUGCUGUCAGUUCGACAUACUUCAUUUUGGUUAGCAGUGUCUGCAUAUUGUUUAUAGUUGGUCAUGUUUCUUAAUUAGUCUUUGGGCUCAAUUGGUAUCUAUUGGUGAGUGCUUAAUUUUUCUAUGGGUAUAUUGAAGUAUAUGACUGUGGUCAAAACAUUUAGUUAAUUUUUUGGACUAGUAACCAAUAAAAUCCAAAGGUGUUGGCCUUUUUCAAUUUUGACUAUGUUAAAAUUAUCAAUAAUUGCCACGGAUUUCAAUACUUGAACCAAUUCCAGCCAUCAAUAAGCUUCUAUCUAGCAAAUUAGGAUUUGGUUACUUGUAAAAAAAUGUAGUAGUCUUCUGGAAAAAUUUUAUAAGAAAAUUGGAAAAUAGAGUUUUAUGUUUAAAUGUGCCCAUUUUCCAAAUGUAGAGUUUUCCAAAAUUUAACUAAGAUUUGUAAGUUUUCCACUGUUUUCUUUUAUAAUAAAAGUCCUGUUUUCCAAAUGGAAAACAAUAACUUAUCUAUAAUAAAAAUUCUACUAUUUUAUU
rnacentral:misc_RNA from 1 species